CUUAAAAAAAAAAAAAAAGUAUUCCUACCAUUGAGAGUUUUGUGCUAAACGGGGAGACUAUUAAAACUUUUCUAUUUUCUUUCAUAUUUUUUCUCCAAGAUUUUAUAUGACUGAUACCUGCUAUUCUGCAAAAUAUGUGUGUAUCAGUUAUUAGAGACUCAGUGGAGAAGGAGGAGAGAGAAGAGAAAUGAGGAUUUUACUACUUACCAAAAACUGGGGACUGAUAUCUAUUAAAAAAAAAAACAAAAAAAGCCAAAACACAACGAAAUUGCAGUUGAGAAGAAAAACCACCGUGAAAGUGGGAAAGCAGGUCUCUUCCAAGGAGGGUAGCCUUUUGUAAAAACCCAGAUGCAGGUCCUGGCAAAUGCAGGGUUCCUGCCUGGACUUCCCUGAUACAUCCACACGUGGGUUUGUUUACAAACUCAGUAUUUGCAGGGAAAGGCAAGCAGGCAUUCCAUGUCAGAAGAUGAGGGAGGAUCAGCAGCAGGAACAUCCAGGACGCCUCUGUGUCCCUCCUUUCCUGGCCUUUGAUGACCACAAAGGACCACAAAGGACUUUGUGAACUCACUUCCUUGGAAACUGGAAAGUCAGUAGCAUCUUUAUGUCCCCAACGGCCUGGUGUAUUUGGCAACCAUCAAGUGUAAACCCAUGGGGGCCACCGGGAGCACAUUUAUGGCAGCAACAAAGUGCAGGAACCAUUGGUCUGGUUGAGGCUCAGUCAGAGCUCUGGGAGUGGAUGUACAAAGCAAGCCUCGACCAAUUGGAACAUGCCCUCCUCUGGCCACAGUGAUUGGUUCAGUGGGCUUGGCCAUGUGACACCAGCUGGGCCAAUCAGAAGGAGUCUCUGGAUAUUUGCUGGACAUGCGGUUCUAGGUUCCAGCUGUCAUCCAUUGUUGCAUCCUUGCCCUGGUAAGGCACACUUGUCACUAUCUGUUUCCCCUGGUGUCUACUAAGAUUUGCCAUCUAGUCUGGUCUUUGGGCAGUUUUUCCCUCCUUGUUAACAUGGGCUGGGACACAACUGUGUCCUCAUCUGAUCCCACAGGACAUCUUCUCCUAUUGCUGUCCAUCCCGUGGGAGUCUCUGCCUCCCCAGUAGCCCUGCUGUUCUCUGCAGGCGUCUACACGUCUCCACGUCUCCACGUCUCCACGUCUGUUUUCUGUACCAAUCUGGGUCCACGCCUUUGAGAUCCUCCACUGGAUAGUUUUACUUCUCCAAAGUUUGCUUUCACCCAAAGGCUCCUCCUUUUUUAUUCCUCGAACUUGUCAGAAGCUCUGGCUCUGUUAUUUCCUUUCCCACUGAGAUUUGAACAUCAAGAAGAUUCGGGAAUGUGGCUCCGUCUCCCAGCCUCGCACCUUGGUGAAGCUCUGUCCCACUCUUUUCUCUGCCUCCCACCCAUCCCCACCCACCUUGCGUAUCAAUAGGUAUCUGGCGGUCUGGCUUCCAUUUGUCCUUUUUCCAUUCUGCAUCCUAUGCCCCAUUUCCUUCAGAGUUUUGUUUCCGGUUCUAAAAAUUAGGCAUUUAGAACUUAAAAGCAGUUCCUGCAAAUCACAAAUCUUAGCUUCCAAGAACUUGUCUCUGCUCUGAGUACCAAAAACCUGUUUUGAAGUGGAAAGAGUUGACUGUUUCUCUUCACACCUCGCAUUCCUGAUGUAAUAAUCCUAAUCUUUCUGGAGGCAGAAGCACCCUUAAAGAAACGUCCAGAGGUGUGGAAAGCAUGAUCAUCCUGCUGUGGUGUCAUGGGUAUCCUUGGCUCCCUGAAGCUUCCAGAGUUCUCUCGGGGUCAGGAAGAACCGGUUUUGGAGUCAGGGCACCCAAAUUCUAAUCCCAGUUCUGCUGCUUAAUGGUUGCACAGAGUAGAAAAAUCACCUCAGUUUUGUAAGUCUUAACUUUCCACCUCUAUAAAAUGGGUAUUUGUUACUGCCCCAUGGUCUUGCCUUUCCUGGCUAAUAUACUGAAUUGGGGUCGAUUUAGAAAAGGUAACCUUGUGUAGUGGGGAUUCCCUGGGCUUCCACUUGUCAUCGUUUUCGUCAUCAUCGUCAUCGUCUUCUUCUUCUUUUGAACGGUUUGCACAAGGAUCUCUGGGAUAUAAUGGCUGGAAAGAGACAAACAUACAUGUUGGACGCUGGAUUUGUCCAUCUGGCUUCCCAGAGCUCAAGGAGCCAGGACUCAUGGUGGGAAGGACCACGGGAAAUAAAUGAAUGGUCUCCAGGGCCACUUGUCAUUGCUGGGUAAGAGUAUGCUGGUUUCUGUUUCCUGCUGGCUGACACAGAGCUUUAUAAAGACACCACAGGGCUUGCUGAGAAUGACUGGGCCAAGAUGCGGGUUUAGAAAGCCACAAAGGAGGGAGAAUGUCUCCAGUCAGCACUUCUUUCUCAGCUUCUCACAGACGAGGGGACCGUCCCUUCUGCUCUGCGCCCCAGGCUGGCGAACAAAGGCCCAGGCUUCAAACUCUGCGUUGGGGGUGUUCUCUCCCAGGUUGUGCAAAGCACAGGCUGGCCCCCUGAGGGAGAGCCCGCCCACCUCCAGGUGCCUCCCAUGCCUCAUGCUUGUCCUGGGCCCACUCACAGGUCUAACCUGGGGGCCUGGGUGACCUCAGCGCUGAGUUCAGAGACUUCUCAGCCUGCACACAUGCGGUGGCCUGAAGAACAGUGUGGAAGGACCUCCUUCAAGAGCUCUCCAGUCUGCCCUGCACUGUGCACUGUGCUUGUGAGGCUGUGGUUCCCCAGGGAACUCCACUCCCUCCGCUGUGCCAUCCUUGACCUGGCCUGCUAGGUAAUGGAGGACCUCUGGUCCCAAACUUAAAAUGGGUCUCAUUAGCUACUUCCAUGUAGCCUCAUCAGGCACCCUGGGGGAAUAGCAGCUUGGGGCAUUACUCUGCAAGCUUUUGUGCCCAGUGCCCAGUUGUCAGGUUGGAUGAACAGAAGCAUGGGGUGCGAAACAGUGGAGGGGAGACUUCUGUGCUACUCCAGCUGGUCAGAUACACCAGGAGAGUUGCAUGUCCACAGAAAAACCAAGGGGCCCAGGCCACUGAAUGGGGAGCAGGUGGCAAGGACUGAGCAACACACCUGUGUCCAAAAGGUGCUCAAACUGAACAGAAAACAAGGAAAUGUAGACUAAAGCAGAAGAGCAAAAAGGUGCUUUUCACACCUGUCAGAUGGACAGUCCCAGUACCUGGGACCAGAGCGGGUAAUCUCUCUGCUCUCAGCACCGGCCAUGCUGUUAGCUACAGGAGAGCUGGAGGGUGUUGCCAAGGGCAGAACCAGUGUGUUUUGGAAGGAAAUGAAAGCGGGUUCUUCUCCUUUAGGUUCAUAAUGGCUGUGGAGCUAGCGAGGGGUGUGGGAUGGAGUGGGUCCUGGCAUCAUUUUCCAAGCUCCUUUUCUGCCUCUAAAGCUUGCUGUGGGGCUCAAGGGACUGGGUGCUGAGUCCUGCCUUGCAGGCGAGGGUGCAGUAUGGUGUAGCCCAGAGAUUCAGCUUUAGAACCUAUUCCCAUGGACGUACUGUUCCCUUUGCCCGGGCUCAGAGGAGAUCCCACACUGUGUGUCUGCGCAACCCUGGGAACUCCGGGAAAUGCUUCUGCCAUGGAGACAGGAUGCCCGUUGGAAACAGCCUGUGGCCUCGGAGCAUGUACUGAUCUUCCCUGUUAUUACUGACUGGGAAUGGGUGUUGGUGGGUUUUUAAAAAUAUAUUUUAUUUUUGUUUAUUUAUUUGACACAGAGAGAGAGAGAAUGAAAGA